GCAAACUAAAAUCUUUCACGUUUUCUCUCUUUUCGCACCUCUCUGCAAUUGCCUAGGGUUUCUCCGAGCCAUCGAAUUUUGCAGUUCCAUCUGGUUAUAGUUGAUUAUGCAGUGUCGUAUCUUUCUUCCCCCUCGCAAGAUUCUCAGGUGAAGCUGUGGAAGUGCGAUUUUGAUUUACUGAUACAGAGACAGCUAGGGGACAACAAGUUCCGCAAGAAUUCGAAUUGAAGCAUUCAAAACUCUGAGGGUGCUUGUUGCUAAGGAAACAAAAUCUUUUAUAAACAUUGACCCUUUAAGGCUAACCCCUCUUGCACCGAGUACUACCCCAGAUGAUUCUGACCAUGCUGUUGAUGAUGCUCUUGAUGACAUAGCAGAAGACCCUUAAUUAAGCUUCUUUAUUUUACUUGUUUCAGGAUAUUUUAUUGUAUUUCACUAUUACUUUGUUGAAGUUUAAACAUUUUAUGUUAUUAUUGUGUUUUUAGCAUACUAUAUUGACAUACUUAUAUUUUAUUUAGUUUUCAGUAUAAUAUAAAUUCUCAUCGAUAAGAUUA